rnacentral:rRNA from 1 species
UACGUAGGGUGCGAGCGUUAAUCGGAAUUACUGGACGUAAAGCGUGCGCAGGCGGCGCGUUAAGACAGGUGCGAAAGCCCCGAGCUUAACUUGGGAAUUGCGCUUGUGACUGGCGUGCUGGAGUGUGGCAGAGGGAGGUGGAAUUCCACGUGUAGCAGUGAAAUGCGUAGAGAUGCGGAGGAACACCGAUGGCGAAGGCAGCCCCCUGGGCCAACACUGACGCUCAGGCACGAAAGCGUGGGGAGCAAACAGG